GAUGAACGCUGGCGGCGUGCUUAACACAUGCAAGUCGAACGGUGAAUGCGGAGCUUGCUCUGCUGGAUCAGUGGCGAACGGGUGAGUAACACGCGAGCAAUCUGCCCCUGACUCUGGGAUAAGCGCUGGAAACGGCGUCUAAUACUGGAUACGAGCCACGAAGGCAUCUUCAGCAGCUGUAUAGAAGUUCGGUCAGAGAUGAGCUCGCGGCCUAUCAGCUUUUUAGUGAGGUAAUGGCGCACCAAGGCGUCGACGGGUAGCCGGCCUUUGAAGGUGGACGGCCCCACUGGGACUGAGACACGGCCCAGAAUCCUACGGGAGGCAGCAGUGGGGAAUAUUGCACAAUGGGCGAGAGCCAGAUGCAGCGACGCCGCGUGAGGGAAGACGGCCUUCGGGUUGUAAACCUCUUUUAGCAGGGAAGAAGCGAAAGUGACGGUACCUGCAGAAAAAGCGCCGGCUAACUACGUG
rnacentral:rRNA from 1 species